rnacentral:tRNA from 2 species
GCCCAGGUGGCGGAAUUGGUAGACGCGCUGGCUUCAGGUGCCAGUGGCCGUAAGGCCGUGGAAGUUCGAGUCUUCUCCUGGGCACCA